rnacentral:rRNA from 1 species
AAAGAAACCAACAGGGAUUGCCUCAGUAACGGCGAGUGAAGCGGCAAAAGCUCAAAUUUGAAAUCUGGCCCCGUCAGGGGUCCGAGUUGUAAUUUGGAGAGGAUACUUCGGGUGUGGCCGUGGCUUAAGUCCCUUGGAACAGGGCGUCAUAGAGGGUGAGAAUCCCGUCUUGAGUCACCGGUCCACGCCCAUGCGAAGUUCCUUCGACGAGUCGAGUUGUUUGGGAAUGCAGCUCUAAGUGGGUGGUAAAUUUCAUCUAAAGCUAAAUAUUGGCUGGAGACCGAUAGCGCACAAGUAGAGUGAUCGAAAGGUUAAAAGCACCUUGAAAAGGGAGUUAAAUAGCACGUGAAAUUGUUGAAAGGGAAGCGCUUGCAACCAGACUCGAGCGCAGGGUUCAGCGGGCAUGCGUGCCCGUGUACUCCCUGUGCUCGGGCCAGCAUCAGUUUCGGCGGUUGGUUAAAGGCCUCUGGAAUGUAUCGUCCUCCGGGACGUCUUAUAGCCAGAGGCGCAAUGCGGCCAGCCGGGACUGAGGAACGCGCUUCGGCACGGAUGCUGGCAU